GAUAAGAUAACAACAAUUCACAUGCUUACACUCACUCGUUCUUCCAAAAUGUACAAAAUGGUAUAUCUCACUUUCCUUGUGGUUCUUUUUAUUUCUUUUUCUGCCACUUUUGCCGUCCAUACUUGUUAUAAUUGUACAAGCGUCGACGAAUGUCAAAACUUAACUUCUACAGAAAAAUGUAAAAAUGAGACUUCCACUGAACGUUAUCUUUGCAAGUGGCAGCUAAAUGCAGCAAAUGUUUCAUGGAGAGGUUGCAUUAUAAAUAAUGCUGCUAAUAUAAAAAACUGUGACGAACUUCAUAUAAAUACGAAUAAAACAAACAUAUGCCAUCAUUGCGACAGAGAACUUUGCAACUCGGCACCAGUAUCAUCAGGUUCUAAAAUUAUUGCUUCUACUAUAGCUUAUUUACUGGUAAAAUUUGUUUAAAAUAGCAAAUAAUCGUUUAAUUCUCAUGUCUGAUAUUAGUUAAUAAAGCGGUAACAGAAUAAAAUUUAACUGGAAUUGUAGAUUAGGUUGGUAAUAGUAAUGGUUGGUAAUGUGUUUGUUCAAAUAGUCUUUUCAUUUAUUAUCUAUUAACAGCGUUCUAUAAUUAAUUACUUGUAUUUUUGCGAAUAUUAAAUUUAAAAUUUGUAAAAUAGAUGUAAGCUCGACUUUCUACUUUAAAUAGUAGGUAUUUAUCCAACUUAAAUGGCAGACGUUGGAAUUCAUAAAUUGUGUUCAAAACUUAUCAAAUAAUGAAAAGUAUAUCUUUUGAAAAUGAACAGCAUGUAAUAAAACGUCUAAUAAAAUAUUUCGCAUCUUUAAUAAUGAGUAAUUUAGAGGGCAAGACAUACGGAAAUAAGAACUCGAGAAAGAUGUUCUUUUGGAAUAACUUACCAGUAGUAAACAUUGCUAGUAUCGGGUGAUUUUUUAAAUUUCUGAUCUAGGUUUUGCUGCCCAUUACGUCACCAAAUUACGUAGGUCGUCUCAUAUAACAUACAACUUGUGUUGUGACAUUCUAGACUUUUGACAUAAAGGAGGAUACACACGUAACUGUAAGCUUGACAAGCAUACUUCUGCAAAAGAUUGCAGUUAUGUGUAUACCCUCCUUAACCUAAAUUGUGCUUCGUUUUGAUUUACGACCUAUUUUUUUGGGCCGAAUUUGUAUUGUCGAGUCAAAUUUAGAUAUGUCUUAUCAUAUGGCGGGAAAUUUAAAAUGCAGAACCAGUCUAUUAACAGAAGAAACGAAAAAAUCUUAACAUUAUUAACUGAUUGAUUUAUCACUUAAAAUCAAACUAAAUACCUUGGUAUUGGGUGCCGGAAAUGUUAGAAAACACAAGAAAACGAUUCAAAAGUAACAUUUCUGAAGUUUUUUAACGAAUUUCUUCAAUCUGCAAUGCCAGGAUGUGGGAAAUAUAGUCAACCGUCUCCUUUGCGCAAAAUAAGUCUAUUCUGUGUAUCGUGAGUGCGUUAUGGUGAUCAGAAUCGUUAAAUAAGUCGAAAUAUUUUCAUAACUCAUAAAGUUCGACAAAAAUAAGAGUUCCAGCUUCCAGCUAAAGUUUAAUGAUUUCCUUGACAUUUUUAGGCCCAUGGAGCCCGGAAACCUUCAAAAACACAAGCAGAACCUUGAGAAGUAACAUCUUUGGUUUACAAACUAGUUAAUAGCAGCUACAAGUUGUUAAAUAAUUUUGAUAUUUUUGAUGUUAUAAAAUAAUGAUUAAAUAUUUUUUCCGGUAAUCGUUUAUUAAUGAGGCGAUUAAUGCAUGAUUUAUGUACGAAAAUCGUUCAUUAAUAAGGGCUAUAGCCUCUAGAAAUACAUAGUACCGUCACAGCAUAUCAUUCAGUAAGGACAGCUUUUGAAACGCCCAUAAGAAAUACACGUAACGGACUAGAACAACAAUAAUCGACCGUUGGGUAAGGACAUGACCUUGAAUUUUGGCUAGAAACUGUAGUGGCAAACCUUGUUACUAAAUAAAAUUUACCACCAUGUCAACAUUGUGCGUCAAAUUUGACAUUUUAGUUGUUUGGUAUUUAAUAUUGUGACGGUGAUUUAUUAUUUUUACUGAAUAGAAAAUGCGCGUUCGAACAAAUAAAUAAAAUAAAUAAUCUUGUGGAAACUGUACACAGGGCACAGGGGUGCGGUAUGCUGGUAUGGACACAGUUACGAGGGAUGCUUUUAUAUAUCGGCCACAUGAAGGGCUGCAACAUAAAAGGUGAAUGCUUCAUGUAGCAUCUUAAGCGCGCCACUCACGUUUCAACGCCGCAGAACAAUUGUGUUGGAUAUGACGAAAUUGGAGUGUUUUUGAACGUCUGUGUACGCGAUCAAGCAAUUCGGUUGGAUGUGGACGGUUGGUGAACAAGUCUGUCUGCAGCAGCAAUCGUGUUGUAUUGGAUGGAAAUUUGAUCAUGUGUGGACAUGACUCGACAGUGUAUGUUAUUCAAACCAUGAGAGCAGCUAUAAAAGUACAUUUUCGUCAUUUCGUCAGACAUGUUGUCAUCACGAUCGCAAAUUUUUAACUGCAAGGUCGUAACGUGUGUGUACUGCUGCUUUUUAACAGAAUUGUACAACAGUUGCAUCCAAUACAAUCAUACAUUAUCAAAGGCGUUGAAGUGACAGAGAAGUUUAUCAUAUAUGAUGACAUUACGUGCAACGGCAAAAUAACUACAUGUUUCACAGAUUCCAAGGGAAAUUUAAAGAAGCCCCUGAAGCAGGUUUUUUCAUUGUGCCUGCAAUCACGAGGUGGUCUACUACUGUAGUCCAUGUUACUAUGAAAAGGUUCUCAGAAUCACUUCACUAAUUUAACUAACAAGAAAAAUUCAACCAAAAACAUCAAAGUACUUUUCCCAAGGAAGAUGAAAACAACAGCGUUCACUUUCUGACUCUUCAAACGGUUCACACUUGGCGAAAAUUGAAGGCAACCAGAUAUACACGUCCUUGCAUGAAAUGUCAUAUUUCUGAGUGUCAAAAAUUUCCCAAAUCAAGAUUCAAAAUGGGAAAUUGCAUAAAAAUGGAUUCUUUAACUCUUCCGGAAGUAGAAAACGCAAAUGUGGGGUCACUAAAUUUACUUCCAGGAAGAAGCAAAAUGCUUUACCAAAAAACCUACGAUGAGUCUUUUGGUUGCUGCACUGGAAAGCUGGUUGUAAGGUAUCCUGAAUCCGUAUUACUUGCAUCCUUCUCCGAAAUUUCCCAAAAAGGCUCAAUAGCAUGCUUGUGACCAAAGUAUUCUAUGUUUCGAUCCACUUUAUGCAUCCGUCAUGAUUAGGACAUAUCCAAGUAUCCAACUAAUGUUUAUUCAUAAAAAUGUUUACUGUAUGUUUGGUUGCAUAACUCAUAUUUUGAAAUUUCAGUAUUUUUUUUUAAAUUACGAUCACCGGAAAAGAAUUUUUUAUGGUACCGCCCCAGACUAACGUUGAUAGGUCAAAUGGAAGAUUUGACAAUAGGGUUUCUCUCUCGCAAUGUUAGAAAAGAAAUGUUAUAUUUGCCUCUUUCUCUAUGAAUGUCACUUCCAGUCCGCAAG